UACGUAGGGUGCGAGCGUUAAUCGGAAUUACUGGGCGUAAAGCGUGCGCAGGCGGUUCGCCAAGUCAGGUGUGAAAUCCCCGGGCUUAACCUGGGAAUUGCAUUUCAAACUGGCCGACUAGAGUACGGUAGAGGGAGGUAGAAUUUCCUGUGUAGCGGUGAAAUGCGUAGAUAUAGGAAGGAAUACCAGUGGCGAAGGCGGCCUCCUGGAUCGAUACUGACGCUGAGGCGCGAAAGCGUGGGGAGCAAACAGG
rnacentral:rRNA from 1 species